rnacentral:rRNA from 1 species
UUCUAUAAGAACUAAUUUAAAGUAAAACCUGCUCACUGAAUUAAAUUAAAGAGCCGCAGUUGUCUGUGCUAAGGUAGCAUAAUCACUAGCCUCCUAAUUAGAGGAUCGUAUGAAUGGUAAAACGAGAUAAACCCUGUCUCACAAAAAUAAGACAAAUUCACUUAACAGUAAAAAGGCUGUUAUUUAUAAAAAAGACGACAAGACCCUGAUAAACUAGUAAAUUUUAGCUGGGGAGGCUAAUAAAAAAACCUUAAUUCCUCUUAUAAAACCACUAUAAAAAUAAAAUACAGUUACUACAGGGAUAACAGCGCUAUUUCUUUUAAGAGUCCUAAUCCAAAAAGAAUCAUACGACCUCGAUGUUGAAUUAUUUUACCAAAUAAAAGCAAAAAUUUAUAAGUGGCGGUCUGUUCGACCCAUA